AUUGAACGCUGGCGGCAGGCCUAACACAUGCAAGUCGAGCGGAUGACGGGAGCUUGCUCCUUGAUUCAGCGGCGGACGGGUGAGUAAUGCCUAGGAAUCUGCCUGGUAGUGGGGGACAACGUUUCGAAAGGAACGCUAAUACCGCAUACGUCCUACGGGAGAAAGCAGGGGACCUUCGGGCCUUGCGCUAUCAGAUGAGCCUAGGUCGGAUUAGCUAGUUGGUGGGGUAAUGGCUCACCAAGGCGACGAUCCGUAACUGGUCUGAGAGGAUGAUCAGUCACACUGGAACUGAGACAUGGUCCAGACUCCUACGGGAGGCAGCAGUGGGGAAUAUUGGACAAUGGGCGAAAGCCUGAUCCAGCCAUGCCGCGUGUGUGAAGAAGGUCUUCGGAUUGUAAAGCACUUUAAGUUGGGAGGAAGGGCAGUAAGCUAAUACCUUGCUGUUUUGACGUUACCGACAGAAUAAGCACCGGCUAACUCUGUGCCAGCAGCCGCCGCGG
rnacentral:rRNA from 1 species